rnacentral:lncRNA from 1 species
AAGGUUUAUUAUACAAUUGACAAUAGCAAAUAUUAAAAAAUGAACAGAAUUCAUAAAAAAUUGUCAAUUUCCUCAUGGAAUGUACAUGGCCUUGGGGAUAAAAUGAAAGACCCAAUGUUUCUGGAUUUUUUAAAUAAAGAUAUAAAUAUACUGUUAGAAACCUGGAAGGGGGGGUCAGAAGAUUUUAAAAUUGAAGGCUAUAACAUUAUCUCUAAAGUACGCAAGA